rnacentral:rRNA from 1 species
AACGCGAAGAACCUUACCUGCCCUUGACAUCCGAAUGACCGGUGAGUAAUGUCACCUUUCCUUCGGGACAUUCGAGACAGGUGGUGCAUGGUUGUCGUCAGCUCGUGUCGUGAGAUGUUGGGUUAAGUCCCGCAACGAGCGCAACCCUUAUCUUCAGUAGCCAGCGGUACGGCCGGGCACUCUGGAGAGACUGCCAGGGAUAACCUGGAGGAAGGUGGGGAUGACGUCAAAUCAUCAUGCCCCUUAUGGGCAGGGCUACACACGUGCUACAAUGGCGUAAACAAAGGGAGGCAGAGCCGCGAGGCCGAGCAAAUCUCAAAAAUAACGUCUCAGUUCGGAUUGUAGUCUGCAACUCGACUACAUGAAGCUGGAAUCGCUAGUAAUCGCGAAUCAGAAUGUCGCGGUGAAUACGUUCCCGGGCCUUGUACACAAUC